rnacentral:lncRNA from 1 species
UUUUAAGCUCAGGAUUUCCAGAUUGAUCCUUUUGGAUUCCGGGAAUUCUUUUUUUGAAUUAUGGGAUGGUGGGAUUUCGGAAUCAGGACCCCUCCUAACCCCCCUCUCAAAUGUGACAACACAUCAAAAAUAUUAAAAAAAGUUAUGACCAGGAAAAGAAAAUUUUCCCAAAAGUUAACAAGUUUGACUUAUAUUAAAGGUAAAUG